rnacentral:lncRNA from 1 species
UGGCCUGGGCAUCGGGCUCCCUCUGCGCUCGGGCGGGGCGAUUUUCAUGGUUACCAGGCUGCGGACAGGCUGGUGGGGGGGUGGCGGCGGUCCAAAGCCACCGCUUCAUGUAGGCCAGGCGAGCCUCAGAGAAAUCAGGCCUGAUGUUGCUCAGCAGCGGCAGCCUGUUGGGAAAGCACCUCCAGGCCUCGGGAACCAUCUCUCUCAGGACGCGGAUGCGGGCGGGCACCAUCUCUCUCCGGAUGCGGAUGCGGGCGUAGUCCCAGCUGGGAGGAGCGGUGGGGAGGGGCUGGAUGCAGACCCAGCGCUUCCCGUGGAAGUAGGUGACCUUGCAGUUCUCCUGGACCUGGGAGCUGAGGAAGGGCCUGGACAGUAGGGCCCAGUGCUUCUGUUGGGCCUUCCAGUAGACACUGGGCUGCCAGAAGUUUCCGAAAUCUGCGGUCAGGGCCAGAGAUAGUGUCCGGGCUCAGUGACCAGCGACCUUUGGUAUCAAAAUGUCAGAAAGUGCACGAGGCGCCAUGUGCCGGGUACGGUCUGGCCACCAAGUGUUGCAUGGGGCAGGAGGCCACGGCCAGGCCAGAGCUUUGCGGCGCGCAGCUGCAGAAGGGGCA